GGCUCAUUGUGGUAAAGGUUAUCCUACCUGACUGUCUCUCAGGUGAUACGAGUUCGAUUCUCGUAUGAGCCGCCA
rnacentral:tRNA from 1 species